UGCGUAGGUGGCAGGGUAAGUUUGAUGUGAAAUCUCCGGGCUUAACCCGGAAAUGGCAUUGAAUACUAUCCUGCUCGAGGUUUGGAAGGGGGACUGGAAUUCUCGGUGUAGCAGUGAAAUGCGUAGAUAUCGAGAGGAACACCAGUGGCGAAGGCGAGUCCCUGGACAACACCUGACACUGAGGCACGAAAGCUAGGGGAGCAAACA
rnacentral:rRNA from 1 species